rnacentral:rRNA from 1 species
AGAGUUGAUCAUGGCUCAGGAUGAACGCUAGCGACAGGCUUAACACAUGCAAGUCGAGGGGCAGCAUAAAGUAGCAAGUACUUGGUGGCGACCGGCGCACGGGUGAGUAACGCGUAUGCAACCUACCUAUCAGAGGGGAAUAACCCGGCGAAAGUCGGACUAAUACCGCAUAAAACAGGGGCACCGCAUGGUGAUAUUUGUUAAAGAAAUUCGCUGAUAGAUGGGCAUGCGUUCCAUUAGGUAGUUGGUGAGGUAACGGCUCACCAAGCCGACGAUGGAUAGGGGAACUGAGAGGUUGGUCCCCCACACUGGUACUGAGACACGGACCAGACUCCUACGGGAGGCAGCAGUGAGGAAUAUUGGUCAAUGGGCGGGAGCCUGAACCAGCCAAGUCGCCGUGAAGGAAGAAGGAUCUAUGGUUCGUAAACUUCUUUUGCAGGGGAAUAAAGUGCAGGACGUGUCCUGUUUUGUAUGUACCCUGAGAAUAAGGAUCGGCUAACUCCGUGCCAGCCGCCGC